UACGGGGGGGGCAAGCGUUGUCCGGAAUUAUUGGGCGUAAAGAGCUCGUAGGCGGUCUGUCGCGUCUGCCGUGAAAACCCGAGGCUUAACCUCGUGGCUUGCGGUGGAUACGGGCAGACUAGAGGUAGGUAGGGGAGAAUGGAAUUCCCGGUGUAGCGGUGAAAUGCGCAGAUAUCGGGAGGAACACCGGUGGCGAAGGCGGUUCUCUGGGCCUUACCUGACGCUGAGGAGCGAAAGCGUGGGGAGCGAACAGG
rnacentral:rRNA from 1 species